rnacentral:rRNA from 1 species
GACGGACGCUGGCGGCGUGCUUAACACAUGCAAGUCGAACGGUAAGGCCCUUCGGGGUACACGAGUGGCGAACGGGUGAGUAACACGUGGGUGAUCUGCCCUGCACUUCGGGAUAAGCCUGGGAAACUGGGUCUAAUACCGGAUAGGACUCCGGACUGCAUGGUCUGGGGUGGAAAGCUUUUGCGGUGUGGGAUGGGCCCGCGGCCUAUCAGCUUGUUGGUGGGGUGAUGGCCUACCAAGGCGACGACGGGUAGCCGGCCUGAGGGUGACCGGCCACACUGGGACUGGGAUACGGCCCAGACUCCUACGGGAGGCAGCAGUGGGGAAUGUUGCACAAUGGGCGCAAGCCUGAUGCAGCGACGCCGCGUGAGGGAUGACGGCCUUCGGGUUGUAAACCUCUUUCAGCAUCGACGAAGCGAAAGUGACGGUAGGUGCAGAAGAAGGACCGGCCAACUACAUGCCAGCCGCCGCCGUAA